rnacentral:rRNA from 1 species
AACGAACGCUGGCGGCAGGCCUAACACAUGCAAGUCGAACGCCCCGCAAGGGGAGUGGCAGACGGGUGAGUAACGCGUAGGAACCUACCAUGUGGUACGGAACAACCAAGGGAAACUUUGGCUAAUACCGUAUGAGCCCGAGAGGGGAAAGAUUUAUCGCCAUGAGAUGGGCUCGCGUAGGAUUAGCUAGUUGGUGAGGUAAUGGCUCACCAAGGCGACGAUCCUUAGCUGGUCUGAGUGGAUGACCAGCCACACUGGGACUGAGACACGGCCCAGACUCCUACGGGAGGCAGCAGUGGGGAAUAUUGGACAAUGGGCGCAAGCCUGAUCCAGCCAUGCCGCGUGUGUGAUGAAGGCCUUAGGGUUGUAAAGCACUUUCGCCGAUGAAGAUAAUGACGGUAGCCGGAGAAGAAGCCCCGGCUAACUUCGUGCCAGCCGCCGCCGUAAGAC